GUGGAUUAGAUACCCUGGUAGUCCACGCCGUAAACGGUGGGCGCUAGGUGUGGGGACCAUUCCACGGUCUCCGUGCCGCAGCUAACGCAUUAAGCGCCCCGCCUGGGGAGUACGGCCGCAAGGCUAAAACUCAAAGGAAUUGACGGGGGCCCGCACAAGCGGCGGAGCAUGCGGCUUAAUUCGAUGCAACGCGAAGAACCUUACCUAGGCUUGACAGUUGGGGAAAUCUGGCAGAGAUGUCAGGUCCGCAAGGGCCCCAAAACAGGUGGUGCAUGGCCGUCAACAACU
rnacentral:rRNA from 1 species